UCUGAACUAUCCAUCAGAUUAUAGAUACUACGUGUGGAUUCGCUAAAAUACAGAGGUAUCAUAGAUCCGAAAGAAAAAGUUUAAUCUAGUGUCAGUAAUGAGAUAUGAUAAUGAAAAUGAUGCUAUUUCAUCUUAAUAUCUUGAGCUGAAAAAAAAAAAACUCAAGAUUAAAAAAAAAACUUGAAUAUCAUGGAAUAGAGGGCAAUAAAGAGACAUCUUUUUCAUAGGGACAGAGUCUCUUUUUCUUUGUAAAAUUUCUUUUCUUUUUACUUACAGUGUAGGGCCCUUUACUUUUUAUUUUUAGUUUAAUAACUUUUUUGAAAGAUUACACAUAUUUCAAUAUGAUUAAUCUUUUACCUUUACGGAAGUAUCAUGAGUUAGAUGGGGCAGACGUUUUGACAUCUGUUUAACGUGUGAAUUAAUUGUGGACUGCCAAAUAAUAAAUGAUGUUUUGCUAGACCGUAGAUUAGUGGCUCAAAUAGAUAUUUAAACGUGGAGCAGCUGAACUGACCAGCUGAUGCGGACACUUUGCCUUCUUGGCAGACUGAUUUCUCAUUGUAACCGAACAUAUUUGCAUCAUUGGAGCUUUGGUGGGGUGUGUCCACCAUGAAACCAGUAUCUCUGGUUUCCACAGCAAGUCGAGUUUUAAGCCUGAGAAGCAGGAAGCCAUCGCCUGGAAAAGAGGCCACUGGACCAACAUGUUUCCAAGGAGCUGCAUCCCAGUUGGCGACCUACGCCCCAGGCUUUGUUUUGGCAAGGGCAUGGCUUCUCCCACAGACCAUAGCUGAAAGUGCUAGUGUGGAUUUAAGGCUGUCCCAGUAGGACCCCAACCAUAGGAGCCCAACGGAGUUUCCUGGGUGACAGUCUGGGAAAGAGAGACAGAGUCUAUUAGAGGGAAAAAGAAAAAGGGAAGUAUGCCUAGCAGACGUACAGAGGGCUUUUCUGAGAUCAUGCAUCCCGUAACAAGAGAACAAUAAUGAUUAAGCAUUAAAAUUAAAACACCGCUGAGGAACCUGGAUAUACACCUAUAAAAUAAUCAUUCAGUACCCCUGUCUCAAUUUACACCCUCUUGGAAGAAAACAAAGGUGAAAAUCUGUGUGCCUUCCUGGUCAGGCCAUGGUUUCUUAGAUACGACACCAAAAGCACAAGCCACGUAAGGAGACUGAUAAACUAAUUUUUUUAUCAGACUAACAAUAGUAAUAAUAAUAAUAAAAUCUUCUGUGCAUCAAAGAACA
rnacentral:lncRNA from 1 species